rnacentral:rRNA from 1 species
AUUGAACGCUGGCGGCAGGCCUAACACAUGCAAGUCGAACGAGUGGGAGACGGGUGAGAAAUGUGUGGGAAACUGCCUGGGGGAGGGGGAUAUAUACUAGAAACGGUCGAUAAUACCGCAUACCAUCAGAUGUGCCCAGAUGGGAUGAGCUAGUUGGGGGGGUAACGGCUCACCAGGGCGACGAUCCCUAGAGGGUCUGAGAGGAUGACCAGCCACACUGUAACUGAGACACGGUCCAGACUCCUACGGGAGGCAGCAGUGGGGAAUAGUGCACAAUGGGCGCAAGCCUGAUGCAGCCAUGCCGCGUGUAGGAAGAAGGCCUUCGGGUUGUAAAGUACUUUCAGCGGGGAGGCGUUACCCGCAGAAGAAGCACCGGCUAACUCCGUGCCAGCAGCCGCGGUAAUUC